GAUGAACGCUGGCGGCGUGCCUAACACAUGCAAGUCGAACGAAGCACCUUGAAGUUUUCGGACAGAUGGGUGACUGAGUGGCGGACGGGUGAGUAACGCGUGGGUAACCUGCCUCACACUGGGGGACAACAGUUAGAAAUGACUGCUAAUACCGCAUAAGCGCACAGUACCGCAUGGUACGGUGUGAAAAACUCCGGUGGUGUGAGAUGGACCCGCGUCUGAUUAGCUGGUUGGUGGGGUAACGGCCUACCAAGGCGACGAUCAGUAGCCGACCUGAGAGGGUGACCGGCCACAUUGGGACUGAGACACGGCCCAA
rnacentral:rRNA from 1 species